CACGGGGGGAGCAAGCGUUGUUCGGAAUUACUGGGCGUAAAGGGCUCGUAGGCGGCCAACUAAGUCGGACGUGAAAUCCCUCGGCUUAACCGGGGAACUGCGUCCGAUACUGGAUGGCUUGAGUUCGGGAGAGGGAUGCGGAAUUCCGCGUGUAGCAGUGAAAUGCGUAGAUAUGCGGAGGAACACCGAUGGCGAAGGCAAUCCCCUGGGCCUGCACUGACGCUCAUGCACGAAAGCGUGGGGAGCAAACAGG
rnacentral:rRNA from 1 species